AGAACUUAGCAGAGAUGCUUUGGUGCCUUCGGGAACUCUGAGACAGGUGCUGCAUGGCUGUCGUCAGCUCGUGUUGUGAAAUGUUGGGUUAAGUCCCGCAACGAGCGCAACCCUUAUCCUUUGUUGCCAGCGGUCCGGCCGGGAACUCAAAGGAGACUGCCAGUGAUAAACUGGAGGAAGGUGGGGAUGACGUCAAGUCAUCAUGGCCCUUACGAGUAGGGCUACACACGUGCUACAAUGGCGCAUACAAAGAGAAGCGACCUCGCGAGAGCAAGCGGACCUCAUAAAGUGCGUCGUAGUCCGGAUUGGAGUCUGCAACUCGACUCCAUGAAGUCGGAAUCGCUAGUAAUCGUGGAUCAGAAUGCCACGGUGAAUACGUUCCCGGGCCUUGUACACACCGCCCGUCACACCAUGGGAGUGGGUUGCAAAAGAAGUAGGUAGCUUAACCUUCGGGAGGGCGCUUACCACUUUGUGAUUCAUGACUGGGGUGAAGUCGUAACAAGGUAAGCGUAGAUGA
rnacentral:rRNA from 1 species